rnacentral:snRNA from 1 species
GGAUGUGAGGGCGAUCUGGCUGCGACAUCUGUCACCCCAUUGAUCGCCAGGGUUGAUUCGGCUGAUCUGGCUGGCUAGGCGGGUGUCCCCUUCCUCCCUCACCGCUCCAUGUGCGUCCCUCCCGAAGCUGCGCGCUCGGUCGAAGAGGACGACCUUCCCCGAUAGAGACGGACCGUUCAUCGGUCAAGGGUAUACGGUAGCUGCGCUCCCCUGCUAGAACCUCCAAACAAGCUCAAGGUCCAUUUGUAGGAGAACGUAGGGUAGUCAAGCUUCCAAGACUGCAGACACAUCCAAGUGAGGCACUGCACGGGGCAGUCUGCCAUUGUUU